UACCCGUAUGAGUUUCCGCUGAG
rnacentral:miRNA from 1 species